rnacentral:rRNA from 1 species
GUGGGGAAUCUUGCGCAAUGGGCGAAAGCCUGACGCAGCCAUGCCGCGUGAAUGAUGAAGGUCUUAGGAUUGUAAAAUUCUUUCACCGGGGACGAUAAUGACGGUACCCGGAGAAGAAGCUCCGGCUAACUUCGUGCCAGCAGCCGCGGUAAUACGAAGGGGGCUAGCGUUGCUCGGAAUUACUGGGCGUAAAGGGCGCGUAGGCGGACAGCUUAGUCAGAGGUGAAAGCCAAGGGCUCAACCAUGGAAUUGCCUUUGAUACUGGCUGUCUUGAGUUUGGGAGAGGUGAGUGGAACUUCGAGUGUAGAGGUGAAAUUCGUAGAUAUUCGGAAGAACACCAGUGGCGAAGGCGACUCACUGGCCCAAUACUGACGCUGAGGCGCGAAAGCGUGGGGAGCAAACAGGAUUAGAUACCCGGGUAGUCC